UGUUUUAGGAACUGCAUCGUUUUGAUGGGCUGAAUUCGCACUGUGUUUAUUAAGGCUCCUUUUACCCUAAAACCUUGCAGGUCUGGCGUCUUGAAAUAGGAGCGGCUCUGUAUUCACAUAUGUAAGCAUAGACCUGCAGGUACAGUAUGUGUCACAGCUCUCCUGCUGUCACAGAGCCUCUAGGACUGCUGAAGGUGAUGGAUUUUUCCAACUUCCAGCAUUUCCUUAGCCUGGCAGGAGCCAGACCAGGAAGAUGUGCUGCCAGGAUACAUACUAGAGAUGUGAGCUGAGGACACCAAGAAAUGGACCAAGAUGCGCCAGAAUGAAUGGUGAAUGUGAAUGAGGCUGGUAUGGGAGAAUCAGUGGAGCUACAGGAAGGAAUUCUAGCAAUGCCACCUUCAGAUUUGAUCUGACUGUGAGGCUGAAGAGCCACAUGGUGGUUCGUGCUGGGAAAGCACCAUGCAUUCAUGCAUCUUCCCCUGUCAGAGGAAAAAUCCUGCAAUUAGAGUUUUCUUGGAAUCUGAUAAAAUGCAGCUGCAGGGCUAUGGAGGCUGUAGUUGUCCUUUGGCCUUUAUCACAUGAGCUGUCACUUUGGUUGAAAGAGGGAAUCACUUGCACAUGGCAAAUUGGUCUUCGUGUUCUCGGGGUAGGAAAAUCAAGGAAAGAAAUACUCCUAGAAACACAAGAGUUUUGGGAGGGAGGAGCUGAAGUGAAAAAUUUUGCCCUGGAAAAAGACAGAGAAAGGGUCCCAAACAAUACUUAAAUGUGCUCAGAGUAAUUCUUAGAUUUCCCCUGACCACCCACUUAUCUGCAGCUGGUUGAGGAAGUCCCAGACACUGUGACCCUAAAUCACCAGCUCCAAUGUAGAAGACUACUAGCAGACUGAUUAUGGUAUCCUGAAAUGUGAUGUUAGUACCGCCUUGUGGUUCACAACCUCAGAGAAGGUCUACAGCAAUAAGUACGCUGUCACAGGUCUGCUCCCAGGGAGGAAAUACUUGAGUCAUUCCAUGCAAUGACACUGGGGACACUGACCUUCUGGAUUCACAGGCGCAGCAGUACAUCUCCAAAGAUAAAGGUAAGGAUAAAAACUCAUGACAGUACUGGAGGAAGGUGGGUGUUCUUGCAUGCAAGACUAUGGGCUAUGCUCAGGCUCCCUUUGUAGGCUUGGGUAUAUCACUAACCUGUUUGGUACCUCAGGUCCCCACCUGGGGAAUAGACACAAGAACACCUUCUGUCCUAUUCCAUCCCUUUGAUGGCAAUCUCUUCAGGACCAGGCUUCUUUUUACUACAUAUUUGUGUAGCCCAUUACAUAGCAGUUCAUACAGGUGCUGUUUAAAUUAAAAUUCAAGGGGCCAUCCAUGUUCAGGGAGGGUGAUACUACCGUAACAAAAGAUUGGUGUUACAAGUCAUUUGUCUUGUAGCAUAUUUCCAGUCUGACUGGGAUUUGUUUCCUAAAUGAAAAGCAAAAAAAUCUUGUCACAUGUGGGAGACUGUGUGACAGUCUUUCUGGGCCAGAAGCUGUAAGUUGUCCCUAAAAUCACAUUAAAUUAAACACUCAGAAGUCAGCCUAUCAAGUAAACGCCUUCUCCUUUGUUCAGUUGCUCCCUGCUCAGACCUAAUCAGUAAUAAAGGUGUCUCAUUAGCAGUUCCUCCCA
ensembl:lncRNA